rnacentral:rRNA from 1 species
ACGCUCGACACCUACGGGAGCAGCAGUGGGGAAUAUUGCACAAUGGGGGAAACCCUGAUGCAGCGACGCCGCGUGAGUGAAGAAGUAUUUCGGUAUGUAAAGCUCUAUCAGCAGGGAAGAAAAUGACGGUACCUGAGUAAGAAGCCCCGGCUAACUACGUGCCGAGNNGCGNGUAUCNGAGGCGGNNGNGAG